AUUGAACGCUGGCGGCAUGCUUUACACAUGCAAGUCGAGCGGCAGCGCGGGGGCAACCCUGGCGGCGAGCGGCGAACGGGUGAGUAAUGCAUCGGAACGUACCCUGGAGUGGGGGGAUAACGCCGCGAAAGCGGCGCUAAUACCGCAUAUGCUCUGAGGAGGAAAGUGGGGGGACCGCAAGGCCUCACGCUCUGGGAGCGGCCGAUGUCCGAUUAGCUAGUUGGUGGGGUAAAGGCUUACCAAGGCGACGAUCGGUAGCUGGUCUGAGAGGAUGAUCAGCCACACUGGGACUGAGACACGGCCCAGACUCCUACGGGAGGCAGCAGUGGGGAAUUUUGGGACAAUGGGGGCAGCCCUGAUCCAGCCAUGCCGCGUGAGUGAAGAAGGCCUUCGGGUUGG
rnacentral:rRNA from 1 species